UUAUACAAUUAAACAUUGUAAGCCUAUUUAUCUGAUCCGACCCAACCCGGAUCUAAUAACAAAACCAAAUAUAAUUAGUAGGUUUCCAAAAUAGAUAACUUUCCUAAUCUUUAUCUCUUUCACGCCGCCUUUCACCAUUUUCCUUCGUGGCUUCAAAAUUAGUUUCUUUCGAUUUUUACACUGGAGAAUCAAUCUUGUACCGCCUUCUUGUCAAAGCUUCACCUUCAGAUUCAGCUUCCAACAGUGAGUAUUACUUUCCUUACUUUGUUAUUUUAUCUUCGUAUGACUUGACUAUUGAUGCUUCAUCUUUUGUUUCUGAUUUCUCCGAUGUCUGAGACUCUGAAAGACAUGUUGAUCAUCUUUGUUGGCUCUAUUCUGCUGAGUUAAGAUUCUACUUCCAAGAAUGACUCUUUUCAUUAACCUUUUGUUCCAUUUAAGACUUUUCGAUGCUUGUCUUAGUGCUUUCUGCUUGUGAUUCUCAGAUCUAGUUAAGAUGAAGAAAAGGGAUGCUUGGACCAGAAAAAAAUCUGAGGAACUGCUUUACAAUCAUGUUUAUAAAGCUGAAUCGGCCCCUAGAUCCUUCCCUAAAGCUGAUAAUCUAUUUUGAUGGCUGCAGUAGUUUAGGAUAGUUAAAACAUACUUGGUUUUUGUUGUGAUCUUGACUUGUGAAUAUGUAGUUUGUGCACUACAUAGCCUAACUUCCUUGUUUCCCUUUAUCCCUUUAGUGGUAUGAUUCUCAAAUAGGGGCACUGCCAUUUAUCACUAUUAAGAAUAGUUUUUUCUUUCUUGUGAAGUUGCUGAAAACUGGUGAUAGUAAUUGCUCCUGAAUCUAUUACUAGAUUAGCAAGAUAAUUAGAUAACUGUUUUUCUUCCCUGUAAAUAUGCUGAUAUACAACUUGCUUAUCUUACAAAUACUUCUUUAUCUCCUUUACUAUGCUUGAAAUGCU
rnacentral:lncRNA from 1 species